ACUGUCAGUGUUCCCAAGACCUAUGCCGGUGAUGUAUAAUGCAGGGGUUUUCCCACGCCUUUUUACCACCAAUCGAAGUUUAAAAGAUUGUCUCAGUUUCUAUUACAGAAUUGGUCAUCUGAGUUUGAAGACACCAUGAGAGAACUCAGGUUGGCUAUCGUGCAUGUGAAUUCCACCCGAAUAGACCUAUCCCUUGCGAGCAGCCUGACUUCCUGGUUGAACUCCGCCAUGGAUCAUUUCAAAGAGUGGGUGGGCAUGGGAGCAUUAGCAGGCCUCUUGAUUAUGGUCUCCCUGGUCUGCCUGUGGUGUAUAUGCAGGAUUAGAGCUACGCAAAAGCGCGAUGCAGCUAUGAUUAUUCAAGCCUUUACUGCCAUAGAGGCAGGGCAGUCCCCCCAGGCCUGGUUGGCCACUAAAAUGCUCUCUUAAGCGGGGUGUGAGGCUAAGCACUGCACGAGGGUUUGCUUGUAUGCGGCUAGGCUGCCCUCAGAAGACAAGCCCGAUUGCAUGAAGGUUGUACCCAAGAUCCUUCCCCUGGGAAAAUAGGUACGGGAUGGGUUUGGGUCACCGCAGGCGUAGAGUUUGAGUGUGUCACCAAUACAUUAUCCCAUGUUUGCACACCGGGAUCGGGCCUCUAUCUUCACCCGCUCUGUUUUUUAAUAAAGAAGGGGGAACUGUGGAGAGCUGCGAUGCGCCUCGCCAGAAGAUGGCGCCGGUUUCCACCUUCCACCAUCCCGAGGAAAGAUGACUGUGAAUUUUAAAAAAGAGCUUAAGGAACCAUGUUUGCACUACAACCAGCAGAAAGGAGGAAAAUGGACAAACCUCACCAGGCUCCAGGGUGUAUGAGAGUUAAAGGGAUGCUAUGACGAGCUUCUUCAUACCCACUACAAAAAGUCAACAACUGGCCAAAUCUGUCAUGUUUCAUUUGCCUAUAUAAAUGCAAUGGCUAUCUUUAUUUAUAUUACA